rnacentral:rRNA from 1 species
UACGAAGGGGGCUAGCGUUGCUCGGAAUGACUGGGCGUAAAGGGCGCGUAGGCGGCCGAUCAAGUCAGGGGUGAAAGCCUGUGGCUCAACCACAGAAUGGCCUUUGAUACUGUUCGGCUCGAGACCGGAAGAGGUUGGUGGAACUGCGAGUGUAGAGGUGAAAUUCGUAGAUAUUCGCAAGAACACCAGUGGCGAAGGCGGCCAACUGGUCCGGUUCUGACGCUGAGGCGCGAAAGCGUGGGGAGCAAACAGG